UGCUCCCGCGCCCAGUUUGGGCUCCGCUUUCUUCUUUCAGGGCCUCUCGGAUCACAACCCCCGCCCCCCCUUGGCUCGCCCGCUCCUGCUGGCCAGCCUGCAGGCGUCUCUUCGUUUUGCAGUGUACACCACCUGAAUCUGUAACCCCAAAGAGGAGUUCCCACGGGGGGGAACAAAAGAAGAAAAAGAAAGCGAACCCCGGUGGCGCUCCCAAAUCCACCCUUCCCAGGGGUCGGCUCCACUGCCUUGGUCAUCGGCUCACAUCACCCGGCGGCAGACAAGGCUCAGCACUUCCUUGAGUUUCCGUGAAGCGAAGGCCUCACUUUGAGCACCAAGACGUUAGACACGAUGACACUGCGGAUUUUAAUAAGUCAGCUUGGAUUCUCAGUGGAAUAGUGGGACCUGAUGGUGCCUUUGGAAAGCAGUUUCAGGUGAGUGGAGGCUGGAAGCCCGUGGCAUCAGGCGGUCAGGGGGUGGGGACGAACCGCUGUGAGGAGGGUUUGCACUGGUAGCGAUGCAGCUGAUGUAGGAACCUCUGGCUGUAUGUGCACUGGUGUG
rnacentral:lncRNA from 1 species